rnacentral:rRNA from 1 species
AUUGAACGCUGGCGGCAUGCCUUACACAUGCAAGUCGAACGGCAGCACGGGAGCAAUCCUGGUGGCGAGUGGCGAACGGGUGAGUAAUGUAUCGGAACGUACCUUUCAGUGGGGGAUAACGUAGCGAAAGUUACGCUAAUACCGCAUAUUCUGUGUGCAGGAAAGCAGGGGAUCGCAAGACCUUGCGCUGAUUGAGCGGCCGAUAUCAGAUUAGCUAGUUGGUGAGGUUUAAAGGCUCACCAAGGCGACGAUCUGUAGCGGGUCUGAGAGGAUGAUCCGCCACACUGGAACUGAGACACGGUCCAGACUCCUACGGGAGGCAGCAGUGGGGAAUUUUGGGACAAUGGGGGCAACCCUGAUCCAGCCAUGCCGCGUGAGUGAAGAA